CUUGGUCAUUUAGAGGAAGUAAAAGUUGUAACAAGGUUUCUGUAGGUGAACCUGCAGAAGGAUCAUUAGUGAAGAUUUGGGCAGGCCAUACGGACGCCAAAAAGUGUCCCUGGCCGCCUACACCCACUAUACAUCCACAAACCCGUGUGCACUGUCUUGGAGAAAGGCUUCAGAGAAGUUUUUUGUGGCCUCUCUUGGGGUCUUUCUUCGCUACAAACUCGAAUGGUUAGUAUGAACGUGGAACUUGGUUGGACCGUCACUGGCCAACAAACUAUACACAACUUUCGACAACGGAUCUCUUGGUUCUCGCAUCGAUGAAGAACGCAGC
rnacentral:rRNA from 1 species